rnacentral:rRNA from 1 species
GGCUUAGAGUUUGAUCAUGGCUCAGGAUAAACGCUGGCGGCGCACAUAAGACAUGCAAGUCGAACGGAAGUCGUUAUAAAUGAAUUGAAGAUUUAUCUGAUUGAAGUUUAUAACAAUGGCUUUAGUGGCGGACUGGUGAGUAACGCGUAAGGAAUCUACCUAUUAGAGGGGAAUAACAAUGAGAAAUCAUUGCUAAUACCGCAUAUGCCAUAGUGAAGGCAUCUUCAUAGUGGGAAAGGAGCAAUUCGCUAAUAGAUGAUCUUGCGUCUGAUUAGUUAGUUGGUGGGGUAACGGCCUACCAAGACGACGAUCAGUAGCCGGACUGAGAGGUUGAACGGCCACAUUGGGACUGAGAUACGGCCCAGACUCCUACGGGAGGCAGCAGUCGGGAAUAUUGCGCAAUGGAGGAAACUCUGACGCAGUGACGCCGCGUAUAGGAAGAAGGUUUUCGGAUUGUAAACUAUUGUCGUUAGGGAAGAAAAAAGACAGUACCUAAGGAGGAAGCUCCGGCUAACUACGUGCCAGCAGCCGCGGUAAUACGUAGGGAGCAAGCGUUAUCCGGAUUUAUUGGGUGUAAAGGGUGCGUAGACGGGUAAUCAAGUUAGUUGUGAAAUCCCUUGGCUUAACUGAGGAACUGCAACUAAAACUGGUUAUCUUGAGUACAGGAGAGGUAAGUG